rnacentral:rRNA from 1 species
GCAAGUCGAGCGGUAACAUUUCAAAGCUUGCUUUGAAGAUGACGAGCGGCGGACGGGUGAGUAAUGCUUGGGAAUAUGCCUUAUGGUGGGGGACAACAGUUGGAAACGACUGCUAAUACCGCAUAACGUCUACGGACCAAAGGGGGGGACCUUCGGGCCUCACGCCAAAAGAUUAGCCCAAGUGGGAUUAGCUAGUUGGUGGGGUAAAGGCCUACCAAGGCGACGAUCUCUAGCUGGUCUGAGAGGAUGAUC